rnacentral:rRNA from 1 species
AUACGUAGGGGGCAAGCGUUAUCCGGAUUUACUGGGUGUAAAGGGCGUGUAGGCGGAGAUGCAAGUUGGGAGUGAAAUCCCGGGGCUCAACCCCGGAACUGCUUUCAAAACUGUAUCCCUUGAGUAUCGGAGAGGCAAGCGGAAUUCCUAGUGUAGCGGUGAAAUGCGUAGAUAUUAGGAGGAACACCAGUGGCGAAGGCGGCUUGCUGGACGACAACUGACGCUGAGGCGCGAAAGCGUGGGGAGC